UGCAGAUUUUAGUUGUGAACUCUGGUCAAG
rnacentral:piRNA from 1 species